rnacentral:rRNA from 1 species
UACAGAGGUCUCAAGCGUUGUUCGGAUUCAUUGGGCGUAAAGGGCGCGUAGGCUGCGGGGCAAGUCGGGUGUGAAAUCUCAGAGCUCAACUCUGAAACUGCACUCGAUACUGCUUUGCUCGAGGACUGGAGAGGAGAUUGGAAUUCACGGUGUAGCAGUGAAAAUGCGUAGAUAUCGUGAGGAAGACCAGUGGCGAAGGCGGAUCUCUGGACAGUUCCUGACGCUGAGGCGCGAAGGCCAGGGGAGCAAACGGG